AUUGAACGCUGGCGGCAUGCCUAACACAUGCAAGUCGAACGGUAGCACAGAGAGCUUGCUCUCGGGUGACGAGUGGCGGACGGGUGAGCAAUGUCUGGGAAACUGCCCGAUGGAGGGGGAUAACUACUGGAAACGGUAGCUAAUACCGCAUAACGUCGCAAGACCAAAGUGGGGGACCUUCGGGCCUCACACCAUCGGAUGGUCCCAGAUGGGAUUAGCUAGUAGGUGGGGUAAUGGCUCACCUAGGCGACGAUCCGUAGCUGGUCUGAGAGGAUGACCAGCCACACGGGAACUGAGACACGGUCCAGACUCCUACGGGAGGCAGCAGUGGGGAAUAUUGCACAAUGGGCGCAAGCCUGAUGCAGCCAUGCCGCGUGUAUGAAGAAGGCCUUCGGGUUGUAAAGUACUUUCGGCGGGGAGGAAGGCGGUGAAGUUAAUAGCUUCACCGAUUGACGUUACCCGCAGAAGAAGCACCGGCUAACUCCGUGCCAGCAGCCGCCGUAA
rnacentral:rRNA from 1 species